GAGACGGGGUUUCACCAUAUUGUCCAGGAUGGUCUCGAUCUCUUAACCUUGUGAUCCGCCCAGCUCGGCCUCCCAAAGUGCUGGGAUUACAGGCGUGAGCCACGGAGCCCGGCCCUCUGAUUCUUUUUGUCUAUCACUCUGUGCACUCAUUCAUUCAAGACAUUUAUGUAGGUGCCCCGCGUUCCUCUGCAGUUCUCCACUACUCUGGCUUUUCUCUAAUACAAUUUAUUUUGUGUUAUUAUUUCUUUAAGACAGAGUCUCACUCUGUCGCCCAGGCUGGAGUGCAGUGGUGCGAUCUCGGCUCACUGCAACCUCUGCCUUCCAGGUUCAAGAGAUUCUCCUGCCUCAGCCUCCCGAGUAGCCAGGACUACAGGCGUGCGCCACCACACCUGGCUAAUGUUUUUGUAUUUUUUGAUAGAGACGGGGUUUCACCAUGUUGCUCAGGCUGGUUGCGAACUCCUGACCAUGAAUGAUACCUCCACCUUGGCCUCCCAAAGUGCUGGGAUUACAGGCGUGAGCCACCAGGCCCGGCCAAUUUAUUUUAUUUUUAAAGUAUUAUCAUUUUUGUUAUUUGAGACAGCAGUGGCGCGAUCACUGCAGCCUCGACCUCCUGGGUUCAAGUGAUCCUCCCACCUCAGCCUCCCGAGUAGCUGGGACUACAGGCGCAUGCCACCACACCCCGCUAAUUUUUUUCAACUUUUUUUUGUAGGGAUGGGGUCUCGCUAUAUUGCCCAGGCUGGUCUCGAACUCUUGGGCUCAAGAGAUCCUCCCUCCUUGGCCUCCCAAAGUAAUGAGGUUUCAGUCGUGAGCCACUGCACCUGGCCUAACACAGUUUUUUGUUUUUGUUUCUGUUUUUGGUUUUUUUGAGACGGAGUCUCGCUCUUGUUGCCCAAGCUGGAGUGCAAUGGCACGAUCUCGGCUCACUGCAACCUCCGCCUCCCGUGUUCAAGCGAUUCUCCUGCCUCAGCCUCCCAAGUGGCUGGGAUUACAGGCGCACGCCGCCACGCCCGGCUAAUUUUUGGUAUUUGUAGUAGAAACGGGGUUUCACCAUGUUAGCCAGGCUGGGCGCGAACUCCUGACCUCAGGUAGUCCACCCGCCUUGGCCUCCCAAAGUGCUGGGAUUACAGGCGUGAGCCACCGCAGUCCGGCUCUAAUAUAGUUUUUAAAUUCAUUCAUUCCAAGGCUUUUGGGAGGCGCUCAGUGGCGUGCAGUUUCCUCUCGAAUUUCUUUCUUCCCGCAGUCUUUCUGGGCGGGCGUCUCCCGUCUGUUUCUUCCCAUCUUCCCCCUUAUCAUCCUGGGACUGGAUAAUUCUUGAAUAGUCUGGGAGGUAGCAGGGAACCCGAGUUCGGAGCCUCGACCAGAACCUCCAGACGGGAAAUUGGAGCAGGUGGUGUCGUUCCUGGACGCUGAGGACCCCCUCCUCCCCUAACGCACAGCCCAACGAUCCUAAAAGUUUCUUCCCCAGGGAACAGAGCUUGAGCGGGGGGCCACCCCCCCGUCCUACCGGAGUUCUGAGGUGCGGUCAGGCGCGGAGAGCGGACGCCCAGCGCCAGAUUCUGUGGGCUCCGGAGUUCAGGCCCACUGAGCCGCAGCUGAGCACAGGCGGGGCAGGAAAAAGGAUGAGGUUCAUUAGCCCCGCUUCCUCGUCCCUGCUCGUCUUCUGCCGGACCAGUCCGCCAUCUUGUGACCGGACUCGGGAAUAGCGUCCUACUUCCCGGCGGCCUCCACUCUUGACCCAAAUGCAAUGUGCAGCCAUGGCAAUCUUUUAUAAACAGAAAUCCGAUCAAGUUACUCCUCUGCCGAAAUCCCUCUGGUCAGUGGUUUAACUGUCGAGGUGCUCCUGGCAGCACUCUGCCCUCCCCACAUCAUUGCUGGUGGACUUGUCUCCCCUACUAGACUGUGCCCUGUGAGGGUGGAGACUGUGCAGGGUUGUAUCCCCAACACCUGAUGCAGUGAUUCAAUAAACAUCUGUCCAAUUAAUAGG